rnacentral:lncRNA from 1 species
UGUUUUUGAAAACGCACCCUAAAGCUAUCCAAUUUCAACAUUUAAAAUAAGUAAUACCUAUCUUAGCAAUACAUAUUAAAACCAUCAAAAAUAAUUAAGCGGCCUUAUUACAUUUAAAAACCCAAAACUUCAAACGUAAAUAAAAGGAUGUCCAGUUCACCAGAAGAAAAUCAAACUUCCAGAACGGGUGGCCACUUCGAAUUCCCUCACAGCUCCAAGCCCACUAUGGUUGGGGAUUUCCUGCGUGGAUGAAAAUAAAAGGGGUGAGUUUGGGGAAACUCAGUGUGUAAGGAAAACCCAUUCAAAGCCCAAGUCAGCUCAAGCUUAUUGGGCCUAAGCCCAUUCAGGUAACAGUGGUACUAGGCCAGAGCCCUUUUCAGAUUACAAUAAACUGGGCCUUAGCCCAUUAUUCAGAUAACAGUAUGGCCCAUAGGCCCAUUUCAAAGUACAUGCAACAUCAAUAAACAUAUGCAAGCCCAUUUGGGGAGACUACUCAACCCACCAACCACUACACUCCACCCGUACCAGCCAUACACUCCAUGUGGGGAAUAGCUCAACCCACCCAGCCCAACACUCCACGGCUGCAGCCUUGCUGCUCAGUUAACAGUAAAUUGAGGCAAAGCCUCCAGUAUGUGGACAAGCCACUUUCAGUACUUCCUCCGUCAAUAUCCCAAUCCCAUGCAUCAGAUAAUAACAACAUGGCAUGCAGUAAAUAACAAUAGUCAAACAUGCAUUUAGGUCAAUUUAACCCUAGGGGUAUUUUGGUAAUUUAUCUACUAAGGGUAAAAUUGUAAAUUUUCCACUUUUAAAGGUAUUUCAGUAAUUUAUCUAUUUUAGGGUUUUUCAUGCAUAUUCCUACUUUUCACGUACUAAUAGAAUCAUGUACCGAGGGUUCUUACCGAAUUGGGCCCGUUGGCCCAUCAUUCCAAUUUUGGCCCAUUAAGCCCAAAAAUAUCGAGGGCACAAAAAUCAUGCACUUUGCAGUCCAAAUUUUGCAACUUACCAAAAACAUUAAUCGAUUUACCUCACGAGCAUUCGCACACUCGCAAAUCUACAAAAUAUCAGUUUUCGGCAUUUCGGCUUUUCGACUUUUGCCGAUCCAGACUAAGAAAGAGGGUGUUAGUUACACACCUGUUUGCGACGAUAUGCUGACGAGAUCCACACACGAACCGCCUACAAUUGGAUUAUUAACACGUUAAUCUAACUAUUCAAAUACAAACUACGUAUUAACCCCUUACAAUAUUCGGCCAACCACACCUACAGAUCAUAGUAAGCUUAUAAGAAAUCAAUAAGCAACUCAUUAACAAAUUUUUGUCAAUGUUUACCACAUAAUCAUAAUUUCACUGCAAGCUGUCUUCCUGAGCAACAGUCACUAAAUCAUUUAUAAUUGGAGUUACGAAACUCCAAAUCAAGUGCCGUUAAUUUUCCCUGAAAAUAGACUCAUAUAUAUUCUAUCCAUAAAAUUUUCAGAAUUUUUGGUUUGGCCAAUCAAUACCAGAUUUUUCUUAAAGUUUCCCAUGUUUCACUGUUUGACUAAUCUGACCACUCUUCAUUACGAAUCAAAUUUCUCAUUGUACAGAAUUCAAAAUAUGUUCCCGUUUAUUCCAUUUGAAACUAGACUCAUUAAGCUUUAAUUACAUAAUUUAUGCAGCUUCUAACUCCUCUUCCACAAUUUAUGGUGAUUUUCCAAAGUCACGUUACUGCUGCUGUCUCAAGCAGAUUUAUUACCAAAUCACUCUUUCACACCUAACUUGCAUGCUUGUUAUUUAAACAUGUAUAUCACCAAUCAAUCAUCACAUAUCUAUGAUUUUACUUAAGUAUAAUCUCCAUUUCAUCAUUUUAAAGCACAACAUGUUAGCCGAUUUUUCCCCUUAGCAUCUAAGGCACAUGCAUGCUCAGUUGUUUGGCUCAACUUCACCUAUCUUCCAUUUUUCAUCAAAAGAACAUGAAACAACAACCAUUUCCUUCAUUUUAAUUCAUGACUAAAUGCUCACAACACAACUAAAAACCAAAAUAUGCUUCAAGAGUUAAGGUAGAAUCAAGAAGAACUCAUGAACAUCAAGAUAGAAGCAAACUACCAUGAACUUACCUUCAAUUUUUUUCCCCAAGUGACCAAACAUUUAAGAGCUUUCUCCUCUCCUUUGUCUUCUCUAACUUUAGGCUAUGAUGAACAAAGAUGGACAAAACUUUGUUCUUUU